CCUACGGGGGGCUGCAGUGGGGAAUAUUGCACAAUGGGCGAAAGCCUGAUGCAGCAACGCCGCGUGAGCGAUGAAGGUCUUCGGGUCGUAAAGCUCUGUCCUAAGGGAAGAAUACUGACGGUACCUUAGGAGGAAGCCCCGGCUAACUACGUGCCAGCAGCCGCGGUAAUACGUAGGGGGCUAGCGUUAUCCGGAAUUACUGGGCGUAAAGGGUGCGUAGGCGGCCCUUCAAGUCAGAGGUGAAAGGCUACGGCUCAACCGUAGUAAGCCUUUGAAACUGUAGGGCUUGAGUGCAGGAGAGGAGAGUGGAAUUCGGAGUGUGGCGGGGGAAUGGGUAGAUAUGGGGAGGAAGGGGAGUUGGGGAGGGGGGGCUCUGGGCUGUAACUGACGGUGGGGGACGAAAGUGUGGGGGGCGAACAGGAUUAGAUACGCUUGUAGUC
rnacentral:rRNA from 1 species